AGGAGAUUAGCUUAAUGGAAGAGUGGGUGCCUUACAAGCACAAGGUGGCAGUUCGAUUCUGCCAUCUCCUA
rfam:Glomus irregulare strain DAOM-197198 mitochondrion, complete genome.